AUGGGCGCGGUGCAGCCGGCGGGCUGUGCCGGUGGGCUCUGGUGGGCAGCCUCCCACGGCCGCGCGGGCGGCGUGGGGGCUGCGGACGCUGGCGCAGUGGCGGCUCCUCGCAAUCCGUCAUGGCUCCAUGUAGAAGAUCCGCCCCUGCUUCGAUCUGUCCCGAUCCGUGCUGGUGCCGGUCCUUGGCGGCGGCUUCGGCGUCCCCUAUGGCCGGCCUGGCGGACCUGGCGUGCGGGUGAGGUUCCGGGGGAAACCCCUGGCUGGCGCGGCAGCCUCCCCAAAGUCGACGCCUUUGGCGCUGAUUCCCUUCCUGAAGGCUUUGGGGUGGAUCCUCUCCCUUCCGCCUCCUCCUCGAGCUAUGGCGAAAGCUUUUGUUCCCCUGGUCUGGGCGUCGACGGCACCCUGGUGUCGUGCUCCUUCUUGAAGGCGGCGGCUGGGAACAACUCUUGGUGGCGGGGCUGCUGGUGGCGUGGUGGCGGUAUGUACAAUUAUUCCAACCCAGGUUUCUUUCAAGAAGGAUAUGGCACUGGGUUCAUUGGUGAGACUUGUGAGGAUGUGCCUAGGUUAAAGAUGGCUGCUAUGUCGGUACCAAGUGGCAUGUGUUUAAAUGGAGUAUCCUUGUCAGGAGAGCUGAUUUCUGAAAUAUGGUACUUUAUGGGUGCAAGGAUUCACCAUGUUGCGGUCUUCGUCAGCGGAGUGGACUCCUAG
rnacentral:rRNA from 1 species